GAUGAACGCUGGCGGUAUGCUUAACACAUGCAAGUCGAACGGUCACUUCGGUGAUAGUGGCGGACGGGUGAUUAACGCGUGAGAAUCUGUCUUCAGGUCGGGGACAACAGUUAGAAAUGACUGCUAAUACCGGAUGUGCCUUUGGGUGAAAGAUUUAUUGCCUGAAAAAGAGCUCGCGUCAGAUUAGCUAGUAGGUGGUGUAAGAGACUACCUAGGCUCCGAUCUGUAGCUGGUCGGAGAGGACGAUCAGCCACACUGGAACUGAGACACGGUCCAGACUCCUACGGGAGGGAGCAGUGGGGAAUUUUCCGCAAUGGGCGAAAGCCUGACGGAGCAAUACCGCGUGAGGGACGAAGACUUUUGGGUAGUAAACCUCUUUUCUCAAGGAAGAUGAUGACGGUACUUGAGGAAUAAGCAUCGGCUAACUCUGUG
rnacentral:rRNA from 1 species